rnacentral:rRNA from 1 species
UACGUAGGGGGCAAGCGUUGUCCGGAAUCACUGGGCGUAAAGCGCGCGCAGGCGGCUAUCUACGUCCGGGGUGAAAGCCCAGAGCUCAACUUUGGGACUGCCUUGGAUACGGGAUGGCUUGAGGAUCGGAGAGGCAAGGGGAAUUCCACGUGUAGCGGUGAAAUGCGUAGAGAUGUGGAGGAACACCUGUGGCGAAGGCGCCUUGCUGGCCGAUUUCUGACGCUGAGGCGCGAAAGCGUGGGGAGCAAACAGG